AAUUGUGUUCAACUCAACCUUAGGUAACCACCUUGAGCUCAUAAUCAUAUUCUAACGUGAAGCCAUCAACCAUAGCUCAGAAGUUAGAACUCUGUCCAUAUUGUGCUCGGUUAGGUGAUAUAUCUAAAUGUAAAUUCUCUUACCAUGUCAACUUGUCUUGCUACAUGCUGUCCCUUGACCGUAUCCAUCCAUCAUCCUUCCGAGUGGACCCUCAGACAGUCCCAGGCACCAUCUCUCACUGCGUCAUCCUUCCUGAAGAUGUAGAUGCCAGGUCAACACACACCCCCUUCCCC